GUCUGGGUGGUGUAGUUGGUUAUCACGUUAGUCUCACACACUAAAGGUCCCCAGUUCAAACCUGGGCUCAGACA
rnacentral:tRNA from 1 species